rnacentral:rRNA from 1 species
GCCUGUGGAAACACAGGAUAAUACCGGAUGCGAUGGUCUUCACACAAGUGGAGGUCAGGAAAGGAGCCAAGGCUCCGCCGGAGGAUGAGCCCGCGUCCCAUUAGCUAGAUGGUGAAGGUAAACGGCCCACCAUGGCGAUGAUGGGUAGCCGGCCUGAGAGGGUGAACGGCCACAUUGGAACUGAGACACGGUCCAGACUCCUACGGGAGGCAGCAGCUAAGAAUCUUCCACAAUGGAACGAAAGUCUGAUGGAGCGACGCCGCGGUGGGCGAAUGAAGGCCGUGAGGUUAGUAAACGUCCCUUUUCUUGAGGGGGAAUAAUGCGGGCAGGGAAUGGCCUGCAGAUGACGUGAAUCAAGGAAUAAGCCCCGGCUAACUACGUGCCAGCCGCCGC